rnacentral:rRNA from 2 species
GGAUGCGAUCAUACCAGCACUAAAGCACCGGAUCCCAUCAGAACUCCGAAGUUAAGCGUGCUUGGGUGAGACUAGUACUAGGAUGGGUGACCUCCUGGGAAGUCCUCGUGUUGCAUUCC